rnacentral:rRNA from 1 species
UACAUGGGGUGCAACCGUUGCUCGGAAUCAUUGGGCGUAAAGCGCGCGUAGGCGGUUACUUAAGUCGAAUGUGAAAGCCCUCGGCUUAACCGAGGAAGUGCAUCCGAAACUGAGUAGCUAGAGUACGAAAGAGGGUCGCGGAAUUCCCGGUGUAGAGGUGAAAUUCGUAGAUAUUCGCAAGAACACCAGUGGCGAAGGCGGCUCACUGGCCCGAUACUGACGCUGAGGCACGAAAGCGUGGGGAGCAAACAGG